rnacentral:rRNA from 1 species
UACGUAGGGUGCGAGCGUUAAUCGGAAUUACUGGGCGUAAAGCGUGCGCAGGCGGUGAUGUAAGACAGUUGUGAAAUCCCCGGGCUCAACCUGGGAAUGGCGAUGGUGACUGCAAGGCUAGAGUUUGGCAGAGGGGGGUAGAAUUCCACGUGUAGCAGUGAAAUGCGUAGAUAUGUGGAGGAACACCGAUGGCGAAGGCAGCCCCCUGGGUCAAAACUGACGCUCAUGCACGAAAGCGUGGGGAGCAAACAGG